GGCCUAUCAGCUUGUUGGUGAGGUAAUGGCUCACCAAGGCGUCGACGGGUAGCCGGCCUGAGAGGGUGACCGGCCACACUGGGACUGAGACACGGCCCAGACUCCUACGGGAGGCAGCAGUGGGGAAUAUUGCACAAUGGGCGAAAGCCUGAUGCAGCAACGCCGCGUGAGGGACGACGGCCUUCGGGUUGUAAACCUCUUUUAGCAAGGAAGAAGCGAAAGUGACGGUACUUGCAGAAAAAGCGCCGGCUAACUACGUGCCAGCAGCCGCGGUAAUACGUAGGGCGCAAGCGUUAUCCGGAAUUAUUGGGCGUAAAGAGCUCGUAGGCGGUUUGUCGCGUCUGCUGUGAAAACCCGAGGCUCAACCUCGGGCCUGCAGUGGGUACGGGCAGACUAGAGUGCGGUAGGGGAGAUUGGAACUCCUGGUGUAGCGGUGGAAUGCGCAGAUAUCAGGAAGAACACCGAUGGCGAAGGCAGAUCUCUGGGCCGUAACUGACGCUGAGGAGCGAAAGGGUGGGGAGCAAACAGGCUUAGAUACCCUGGUAGUCCACCCCGUAAACGUUGGGAACUAGUUGUGGGGUCCAUUCCACGGAUUCCGUGACGCAGCUAACGCAUUAAGUUCCCCGCCUGGGGAGUACGGCCGCAAGGCUAAAACUCAAAGGAAUUGACGGGGACCCGCA
rnacentral:rRNA from 1 species